CUCAGCCAUCUGUGCAAUUGCCGGACUCGGAAGUUCUUGUGCCACCACAACCUGUCAUCGUUGAAAUUCCUGGUCCUAUCUUGUCCAGCAGAGCACAGGAGAAUCCCCUGCGUGCGAGACGUGCAGUCCUGGAUCUGCAUGUCUAGGGACAAGGAUUCUCCUCCCCACUGAUGCCCACUGACAUCCUCUGAUGAGCAGCGCUGCCCUCUGAUGACCACUGUUGCCCUCUGAUGACCAGUGAAGACCCUGAUGAUCAA